rnacentral:rRNA from 1 species
CAGUCGCCGCGGGAAUACGUAGGUGGCAAGCGUUGUCCGGAAUUAUUGGGCGUAAAGGGCUCGCAGACGGUUUCUUAAGUCUGAUGUGAAAGCCCCCGGCUCAACCGGGGAGGGUCAUUGGAAACUGGGAAACUUGAGUGCAGAAAAGGAGAGUGGAAUUCCACGUGUAGCGGUGAAAUGCGUAGAGAUGUGGAGGAACACCAGUGGCGAAGGCGACUCUCUGGUCUGUAACUGACGCUGAGGAGCGAAAGCGUGGGGAGCGAACAGGAUUAGAUACCCCCGUAGUCCCUGUCUCUUAUAC